GCGCGGUGACCGCCAAGUUGCCACGCUUUCACGUACAUUACUGCAUAAUUGUUUCCUAGUAAAUAGAAUUUGAAUUCUAUUUACUAGGAAACAAUAUUUAAAUUCCUUGCUGCACGGGCGGCCGCCGCGUAGGCCAAAGACAAGCCGGCCUCGCCCGCGCGCCCGGUUUGCACGUUUAAGUUAAAACGUAAAAGCUAAACAAAUGGAGCGUAUUUUGCCGCAACAGUUCGGUCUCUGAAUACGUGCACGUGGUCACUGCGCGGCGACCACGUGGUCUCCGCUGCUAUAGUUGUCACCGAAUAAGAGGCCAAAUUUGACAUUUGUCAUCGUGACGCGAAUAGGGAUGUGGACUAAUCAUAUCGAACCGCUGCAACCGCGAGGCAGCCGCGCGACAGUCACGCUCGGUUGCAGUCACGAUUACCGAGGUGUAUAUGUUAAUUUUCCAAGUUAACCACGAUAGAUGAAAAUUGAAUUGAAGAAUUUAUAGAGAAUGUAAAUCAACACCCUGCAAUAUGGGCUAGCAGUUCCGCCAGUUAUUCCAGUCAACUGGAUAAAAAAAAGGCAUGGACGCAAGGGUUCGGCCCGUUAACAGAUAUACUUGUGACAGAUCCUGAUGCUGUGAAGGCUAUACAAGAAGCUUUCGCUUUUUCUAGAGGUUCUACGCUACAUGCAAUAACACCAGCAAGAUUAAAGUCCAAGGGAUAUAAUUAUAACCUUCUAUUUAGGACCGAGAUUGCUGAUGUGAGCAAUGCAUUAUCGGCAAUAUGUGCGGCCUUGGUCCACAAAGAAUGGACUUUCGAAAUUAAAUAUGUGU